rnacentral:rRNA from 1 species
GACGAACGCUGGCGGCGUGCCUAACACAUGCAAGUCGAGCGAAUGAAGUUCCUUCGGGAAUGGAUUUAGCGGCGGACGGGUGAGUAACACGUGGGCAACCUGCCUCAUAGAGGGGAAUAGCCUUCCGAAAGGGAGAUUAAUACCGCAUAAGAUUGUAGUAUCGCAUGAUACACCAAUUAAAGGAGCAAUCCGCUAUGAGAUGGGCCCGCGGCGCAUUAGCUAGUUGGUGAGGUAACGGCUCACCAAGGCGACGAUGCGUAGCCGACCUGAGAGGGUGAUCGGCCACAUUGGGACUGAGACACGGCCCAGACUCCUACGGGAGGCAGCAGUGGGGAAUAUUGCACAAUGGGGGAAACCCUGAUGCAGCAACGCCGCGUGAGUGAUGACGGCCUUCGGGUUGUAAAGCUCUGUCUUCAGGGACGAUAAUGACGGUACCUGAGGAGGAAGCCACGGCUAACUACGUG